rnacentral:lncRNA from 10 species
CUAUAACACUCACCGCAAGGGUCCGCGGCUUCAUUCUUGAAGUCAGCGAGACCAAGAACCCACCAAUUCCGGACACACCAUGGCCACGAAAAUUCAGGCUCAUAAACAAUUUGAAUGCUCUUACAACAUUGGCCCUCAAAGAGCCUCAUCUGCCACAAAUAAAUCAGCUCUUCAAGACAACAGAGCAAUAUGACUGAGCCACAGCUAGUAUCAUACUGAAUGAAGAAAAACCGAAAGCCUUUCCUCUGAGAUCUGGAACAAGACAAGUAUGCCCACUUUUACCACUGGUACUGAACAUAGAACUGGAAGUCCUAAGUAGGGAAAUCAUACAGGAGGAAAAAAUGAAGGACAUCAAAAUUCAAAAAGAAGAAUUCAAGUUAUAGUUGCUUGCAAAUGAUAUGAUUUAUAUUUGGAAAAACCUAAAGACUCCACAAGAAAACUAUUAGAACUGAUAAAUUCAGUAAAUUUGCAGGAUACAAAAUCAACAUACAAAUAUCAGUAGCAUUUCUAUAUGCCAACAGUGAACAAUCUACAAAAGAAAUCAUGAAAGUAAUCCCAUUAACAAUAGCUACAAAUAAAAUGAAACUCCUAGGAAGAAACUUAAUCAAAGAAAUAAAGAUGCCACAAUGAAAACUAUAAAACAUUGAUGCAAGAAAUUGGAGAAAACACAAAAAAAGUAAAGAUAUUCCAUCUUCAUGAAUUGGAAGACUGAAUAUUGUUAAAAUGUCCAUGCUACCCAAAGCAGUCUACAGAUUCAAUGUAAUUAUUGUCAAAAUACCAAUGACAUUCUUCACAGAAAUAGAAAAAAAAUUUCUAAAAUUUAUAUGGAACUGCAAAAGACUGAGAAUAGCCAAAGUUAUCCUGAGCAGAAAGAACAAAACUGGAGGAAUCACAUUAUCUGAUAAUAUGGUUUCGCUCUGUGUCCCCACUCACAUCUCAUCUUGAAUUGUAAUCCCCAUAAUCGCCACAUGUCCAGGGAGAGACCUGGUGGAAACGACUGGAUCAUAGGGGCAGUUAUCUCGAUGCUGUCUUCAUGAUAGUGAAUUCUUAUGAGAUCUGAUGGUUUUAUAAGUGUUUGACAGUUCCUCCUUCACAUACUCUUUCUUGCCUGCCACCAUGUAAGAUGUGCCUGCUUCCCCUUCUUCCAUGAUUGUAAGUUUCCUGAGGCCUCCCCGGCCAUGCAGAACUCUGAGUCAAUUAAACCUCUUUUCUUUAUAAAUUACCCAGUCUCGGGCACUUCUUUAUAGCUGUCUGAGAAUGGACUAAUACACCUGACUUCAAAGUAUACUACAGAGCUAGAGUAACCAAAACGGCAUAGUAAUGGCAUAAAAACAGACA